rnacentral:rRNA from 1 species
GUGCCAGCAGCCGCGGUAAUACGUAGGGUGCAAGCGUUAAUCGGAAUUACUGGGCGUAAAGCGUGCGCAGGCGGUUCGGAAAGAAGGAUGUGAAAUCCCAGGGCUCAACCUUGGAACUGCAUUCUUAACUACCGAACUAGAGUAUGUCAGAGGGGGGUAGAAUUCCGCGUGUAGCAGUGAAAUGCGUAGAUAUGCGGAGGAAUACCGAUGGCGAAGGCAGCCCCCUGGGAUAAUACUGACGCUCAUGCACGAAAGCGUGGGUAGCAAACAGGAUUAGAUACCCUGGUAGUCCACGCCCUAAACGAUGUCAACUAGCUGUUGGGCCCUUCGGGGCUUAGUAGCGUAGCUAACGCGUGAAGUUGACCGCCUGGGGAGUACGGUCGCAAGAUUAAAACUCAAAGGAAUUGACGGGGACCCGCACAAGCGGUGGAUGAUGUGGAUUAAUUCGAUGCAACGCGAAAAACCUUACCUACCCUUGACAUGUCUGGAAUCCUUUAGAGAUAGAGGAGUGCUCGCAAGAGAACCGGAACACAGGUGCUGCAUGGCUGUCGUCAGCUCGUGUCGUGAGAUGUUGGGUUAAGUCCCGCAACGAGCGCAACCCUUGUCAUUAGUUGCCAGCAUUCAGUUGGGCACUCUAAUGAGACUGCCGGUGACAAACCGGAGGAAGGUGGGGAUGACGUCAAGUCCUCAUGGCCCUUAUGGGUAGGGCUUCACACGUCAUACAAUGGUCGGGACAGAGGGUUGCCAAACCGCGAGGUGGAGCCAAUCUCAGAAACCCGAUCGUAGUCCGGAUUGCAGGCUGCAACUCGCCUGCAUGAAGUCGGAAUCGCUAGUAAUCGCGGAUCAGCAUGUCGCGGUGAAUACGUUCCCGGGUCUUGUACACACCGCCCGUCACACCAUGGGAGUGGGUUUUACCAGAAGUAGUUAGCCUAACCGCAAGGGGGGCGAUUACCACGGUAGGAUUCAUGACUGGGGUGAAGUCGUAACAAGGUAACC